rnacentral:lncRNA from 12 species
CUUCACCGUCAGUAUCUAUUGCGCGAACAAUGACGCAGACAAUUGGACUUGAUAACCACAAAGAUUCACUUCAUAUGUUUGUAAAUUUAUUAAAAAUGUUAAAUUGCAUCUUCGGAACAUGACAUCCAGCCCAAUUUCUGGCAUCAGUAGGCACACAACAGCUGCAGCACGACCAGAAGGGGCUUAAAACAUGUCACCCCUUGAAUCAUUCACUGGAAUAACUUCACCAACUUUCAUUUUGCAUCUUAUUCAAAUGCAGAAUGUGUUGCAUAAAGAGCAUGUGAACUUAACUGAAAACCAGACUGAAUUUUUCUCAACAGUAAAUGAGCAUUCACAAACGACACAAUCAAACUUUCCUUCUGACGAAAUGUCCAGUUCAGGCGCAACAGAAGUUGUACAAAAACACCUUGGGCGGACUGCGCAGUCUGCUGUUACUGGGAAAAAGUUCUCUCCUAUUGUCCACACGGAUUUGAGUUUCUCAAGUACAGAGACACAAUCGCUCCCCAGAGGUUCAUUACAGUCCAGGGAAGGGAGUGAAGAUAUUUCACAUGACACCACUCCAUUUGCUGAAAGUGACUCAGGGGUAUCUGCUGGGUUUGUAUCAGACCUGCCAGUGAUAAACAGGAAGAGGAGGAUUAUAUCACCCGAUUCUCUCAGCGGACUGGCGCAAAUCUCAGAUGAUAUCUGCGGCACUGGCAACUACACAGCAGAGAUGAGUCUGAACUUGGAGAGAGAUAUCAUGCCCGGAGAUCUCAUCCCUGCCCUCGGAAACCUACGCGUCAUCAUCAGCCUCAAAACAAAUAACAGCCAGGUGAACCUAGAGAUAAAAUCCUGCUGCCUCUCGCCCACCGUCAGACUUGAUGAAUUUAACACCACCUGCUGCAUUUUUUCCAGCAGUGCGUUCAGAGUCGAAUUGCACAUCUCAGAGAGGAAGCAGGGGCCAUCUUCAGCAGCACAGGACACCGUACUUUCGGCCCUGUUCUGAAAGAAGCAGACAAUUCAUCAUUCCCUGAAACAGCAGGUAACUUAUUACCAAGUUGUUCUGGUGGAAUAAUAAAACAAACUAAUGGAAAAAUAUUUCAGCCGAACUGUGGGUCUGAUUUGGUUUGUUAAUGCUGUACAGAUGACACUGAAGCCAUGGUGGUGAUAAUCAGCUCAGUGGCCGGCUGUUUGCUGGCAUGUUUGGCUCUCUUUCUUGUCUGGAUAGCAAACAGAUGUUGUCUGCAAAGGUCUGCCUACUGCUGGUCCGGGGCCUUCUGUGAAUGCUAACAGAACACAGUUUACUGCAAACCAGCCAACCAGACUAAAAUCUGCAUUGAGCACUCAAUCAUUAUCUGACAGAUUUUGAAUUGCUCAUCAUUUUCAUUUUUGGGUUUUCUUGAAACCACUAGUUUCUUUGCUGAUUUUAGAUUUACCAUUCUUCAGUGUAGGAGAUACUGACAUCAAAGAUAUGUAUGAAUGCUUCUCUGUAUGUAUCACUACCCCAGCGCUAUCAAAAAUUAGACAUGUUUCUCAGCUGCUUAUUAGGUUUCACAUUAUGUGUUUCCCUUUCAAAUAAUUGCCACUGGAGGAAAAAAAGAAGCAAUUAAGUAGUAACAAGCAGACAUUACCUUUGAGAUGCAUCUCUGUGCAAAUCCCUCCGCCAGGUUGGGACAACCUAGGGGCACAGCAGAUUAACUGGCUUGAAGAUCACUUAAUAAAAAAAAAAAAAAAUGACUACUUGUAAUUGAAAGUACAAUCAAAAUGGGCCCCACGGGAAAUGAAACGAAUAUGUCACAGAACUGAAAAGAAACAAACUUCGAUGUUAAAUCUUUGAAAGUAGAGAAACAGACCAUUAGAAACACUUGUGGUUGCUUGUUGCGUAAUUAUUUCUUCAGUAAUUAAGGUAAUAAGCUUAUUUAUUCUGUUAUCUUAAGUGGUAAAAGGUCAUUUACAACCAUUUCCAUUGCACUACACACUGACAAUUAUAGUCACCUUCACUGCAUCAUUACAAAGCAGAACAUUAUGACACGUUUUGACUGUGAGUCUGGUCCUUGCAUCAAUAUAUACCCAAGGAGAAAGUGAGCAGAUCCUGUAUUCAUGUUGAAAUGCAGUGGUUGGCUCUUUGUGCACUUCUUAUAGGAUGAAGUGUCUCUUUGGAUGGCCGAAAAAGACUUCAUCGCAGCAGCUGAAUGCCAAGUCUCUCCUUCAAAGUGUUGCAAGAGCCCUGAAGAGGCAGCGCAUCAUCACCUCAGUAUAAAAGUGCUGCUCCCUGCUUGAUUGUUAAUUACUGUUGUUAGUAUUAUUACUUUAUUUUUUGAAAACCUGUCAUUGAAGGUUACAGUAAUUUGCAUCACAGUUUGGCUUAGAAUAACAAUUACUCCACAGGUUUUUGCUCAUGUGCCAAGAAAUUCAAGAUGUAGUGCUUGAGUGAUUAAUGAACAAUGGGAGAACUUCAAGAGAACAAUUAGUAAUUAUAUUGAAAAUGUGACAUGCACUUUAUUUACGUGUUGAACUGUAAGUCAAUUAAUCAUAAAACCUUUAUGUCUUUAGCAUCAAAUAUCUUUGUACAUUCUGAUGAAUUAUAGUAAAUAAAAUGAAACUGCUUACCUAACAACAAACCACAAACAUACAUGACUGCUGUUAUGUAACAACAUGAAGCUGGUAUAUCCAGUUAUCAGGUGUCCCUCACAAAUCUCGAAGCCUCAACUGUGGAACUCAUUCAAAACUGGCUGUGUUACAUUUCUAUUCUAAUAAUCAGGGCUCUGACUCCUCCUACCAAAACCAGCAGAGCUUUUGUUUAAUAUGUGUUUCCUUGACCUGGUUUCCGUGUGCCAAGAAGAAGUGUCGAUGGGCAACGUCUUCAUU